rnacentral:rRNA from 1 species
UGGGGAAUAUUGCACAAUGGGCGGAAGCCUGAUGCAGCGACGCCGCGUGGGGGAUGAAGGCCUUCGGGUUGUAAACUCCUUUCGACAGGGACGAAGCUUUUGUGACGGUACCUGUAUAAGAAGCACCGGCUAACUACGUGCCAGCAGCCGCGGUAAUACGUAGGUCCCGAGCGUUGUCCGGAUUUAUUGGGCGUAAAGCGAGCGCAGGCGGUUAGAAAAGUCUGAAGUGAAAGGCAGUGGCUCAACCAUUGUAGGCUUUGGAAACUGUUUAACUUGAGUGCAGAAGGGGAGAGUGGAAUUCCAUGUGUAGCGGUGAAAUGCGUAGAUAUAUGGAGGAACACCGGUGGCGAAAGCGGCUCUCUGGUCUGUAACUGACGCUGAGGCUCGAAAGCGUGGGGAGCGAACAGG